CAUCAUGGCCCUUACGACCAGGGCUACACACGUGCUACAAUGGCGCAUACAAAGAGAAGCGACCUCGCGAGAGCAAGCGGACCUCAUAAAGUGCGUCGUAGUCCGGAUUGGAGUCUGCAACUCGACUCCAUGAAGUCGGAAUCGCUAGUAAUCGUGGAUCAGAAUGCCACGGUGAAUACGUUCCCGGGCCUUGUACACACCGCCCGUCACACCAUGGGAGUGGGUUGCAAAAGAAGUAGGUAGCUUAACCUUCGGGAGGGCGCUUACCACUUUGUGAUUCAUGACUGGGGUGAAGUCGUAACAAGGUAACCGUAGGGGAACCUGCGGUUGGAUCAC
rnacentral:rRNA from 1 species